rnacentral:rRNA from 1 species
UAGGGAAUAUUGGACAAUGGGCGAAAGCCUGAUCCAGCAAUGCCGCGUGAGCGAUGAAGGCCUUAGGGUUGUAAAGCUCUUUUACCCGAGAUGAUAAUGACAGUAUCGGGAGAAUAAGCCCCGGCUAACUCCGUG